AAUGAGGAUGCCACUCAGACCAGAGGGACAAACACCACAGCCAGUCCUGCCACAGCCCUGCCACAAAAAACCUGUGAACUUAUGAAUCAAGGCAUCUUGGCCCUGGUCAGCUCCAUUGGCUGCACGUCAGCAGGCUCCCUCCAGUCUUUGGCAGACGCCAUGCAUAUCCCACACCUCUUCAUUCAGCGCUCAACAGCUGGGACCCCAAGGAGUGGCUGUGGACUCACCCGGAGCAACAGGAAUGAUGACUACACUCUCUCAGUUCGCCCACCUGUCUACUUGCAUGACGUUAUCCUAAGAGUGGUCACAGAGUAUGCCUGGCAGAAAUUCAUUAUAUUCUAUGAUAGUGAAUAUGAUAUCCGUGGAAUACAGGAGUUCUUGGACAAAGUGUCUCAGCAGGGAAUGGAUGUUGCACUUCAGAAGGUAGAAAACAACAUCAAUAAAAUGAUCACCACUCUCUUUGACACCAUGAGAAUAGAAGAACUGAAUCGCUAUCGAGACACUCUUAGGCGAGCGAUCCUUGUUAUGAAUCCUGCUACAGCCAAAUCCUUCAUUACUGAGGAAACUUCAUUAUGCAGUUUAAAGACAAAUAUAAACAUUUUACUUUUUGAGUUCAGCAAAUGACUUAGGGAAUCUUAUUGAACUACUACAUUUUUUCAUAAUAUAAAAUAUUUACAAUUUUAAAGAAGUUGGUUCUUUCCUUCAAGAAACACAAAUCUGGAAGAUGGAAGCAAGUCCACAGAGGAUGUAAUAUAAAUUAGGAUGUUAAAAUUGCAGUAGAGGAGGUUGAAGCAUCUAUGGUUAUUUUUGUUGGAGGAGAUCAGAGAAAACUUCACUGAGCAGGUAUA
rnacentral:sRNA from 1 species